AAUAUGUGUGUACGAACAUGUACUUCAUCAUAUAGACAGCUUAAUAAUGAUUGUAUUAUUUGAUAUAUUACAGGUGAUAGGUGGUGCCAUGUUAGUGGUGAUAUCAGAACAGCUGGAUUUACAACAUGCUAAUUUAUCAAUGUCUCCUGAGUUGCAUAAAAGUACUGCCGUUUCUUUGUGUUUGCAGCGUUGUUAAGCAAAGAUGGCUGGCAAAUCCUGUGCUGAAGGGUAGGUUAUAUCAAUCAUCAGAACAGUGACAGGCACGAACACAGCACAACUUUGGCUUGGCUAUACAGUGAUAUUGUUGUGAAAAUGAACUUUAAUUAUACUCCACAACCCCGAAUCUCUGGCCAUCUCACAGUGAUCGCUCUUCAGUCGUGAUGCAAUCCCAUGCCCUGUGUUUGAAGGCAAGGGCAAGUUCAACGGUGGAUCCGGCACCUCAUAUUUGGAAAUGUUUAUUGUUGACCUUUUCGACUGCAUAGGAGUGUCUCUGCAGGCCACGGUUGAGGGUAAUCUUGGGGAUUCUGCAGUCUUGCCUUGUUGUUCUAAUAAAAAUGAUUUCCAACAAGAAGAUAUUACAGUUUACUGGAGACAUAACAGCAGCAGGAAAGUUUAUGGCAUCAUCAAGGGGAAACCUUCAGUAGAGGAGCAAGGCCUGGAUUACAAAAACAGAACCCAAACCUUCCCUAAUGAGUAUCUGAAAGGAAACUUCUCACUCAGACUUAAAGGUCUUCAAUAUAAUGAUGCAGGAACAUACGUCUGCUACAUCACCAUGACAAAUGAAAAUCCAAGCACACAGCUUUUGGUCAAAAAGAAUGAAGAGAGAAAAAACCAUGGAUCAGAAACAAGAGCAGAGACGACUGUGUCUUUUUUAAUUCUGUUUGUAUUCUGCUACUGUAUGUAAUUAAACAGAGGAGUAAGGAAGUGUGUUUCCUGGAGGGCCAGUGUGCUGCAGAGUUUAGCUCCAACCCCAAUUGGAUACACCUAAACAAGCUAAUCAAACUCUUUCUAGUAUUACAAGCAUCCAGGUAUGUGUAUCUAGGCAAAUUUGACCUAAACUCUGCAGUAGAUUGGCCCUCCAGCACCACGUUUGUGCACCCCAGCACUAGAAUUUAACUAAAAGACAGAAAACAAAUGCACUGCAUAAAGCUACUUUUAAAUGGCAAUCUACCACUUUACUGGCAAAAAAAAAAAACUCUUUAUGU